rnacentral:rRNA from 1 species
GACGAACGCUGGCGGCGUGCCUAAUACAUGCAAGUAGAACGCUGAAGAGAGGAGCUUGCUCUUCUUGGAUGAGUUGCGAACGGGUGAGUAACGCGUAGGUAACCUGCCUUGUAGCGGGGGAUAACUAUUGGAAACGAUAGCUAAUACCGCAUAACAAUGGAUGACACAUUUCAUUUAUUUGAAAGGGGCAAUUGCUCCACUACAAGAUGGACCUGCGUUGUAUUAGCUAGUAGGUGAGGUAAUGGCUCACCUAGGCGACGAUACAUAGCCGACCUGAGAGGGUGAUCGGCCACACUGGGACUGAGACACGGCCCAGACUCCUACGGGAGGCAGCAGUAGGGAAUCUUCGGCAAUGGGGGCAACCCUGACCGAGCAACGCCGCGUGAGUGAAGAAGGUUUUCGGAUCGUAAAGCUCUGUUGUAAGUCAAGAACGGGUGUGAGAGUGGAAAGUUCACACUGUGACGGUAGCUGACCAGAAAGGGACGGCUAACUACGUG